UGGUGUUGUUACUAGGAGUAGGGUUUAUCUUUAUUUUUAGUGAUGACGGUAGUAAAUGUCAACAAAAGUCAAAUAUAAAUUAGGGAAUAUUAAAAUUUUGUCUUGGAGAUGAUGAAUAAUUGCUCUACAAUAAUUCCUUUCAAGUGUCUAGUUUUCAACCAUGAAUUAUCGUGAGUUUUUGACAUGACCACUUUAAUAUAAGAAUUUAUUCUGAACCUAAAAUUUGUGGAGGCAUAUGUUUAAGCUGAGUCGAGGUAAUUGAUAUUAUACAUGAAGGUCUAAGAUGCUAUUUAUCUUAUUCCUAGCAUUACUAAGUUCUAGAGAUAUAUUUUUAAAAACCCAAAAUCUUACAUUAUGAGCUCUUGUGUGAUAAAGUUUAAAUUCCUACCAAAGCCAUAUAUGAUACAUUUAGAGUUAGAAAAACCUUUGCGCAUUCAUGCUGCUUGCUUUAUCUUGAGUUUAGACAACCUUUGGAGUAUACCUUAUGAGAGUCUUGUCAUGAUUUUAAAAUUGAGAUCACUUACGCACUCCACCACAUAUGCUUACUCCUACUCUGGGAUGUAAGCGCAGUCGUUUUCACUUUCAUCGAGAUCCACCUUAAAAAAUAUAUUCUUCUACACUAGGAGUAAACACCCAAAAAUAUACCCUAUAGGACAGCCCCCAUUUAAUUGCUCUAAGUUCUUAUCAUUAUCUCUCCGAUUAUUUAUAUUCAAAGGAUGUAUGUGGCUAUGCAAAAGUAUUAAAAUAAAAGAAGAGAAGAAGAAAAGUGGGAGUAAAAGAUGGACAAGUGUCCCAACAAUUAAAACAAUGAGUACAUAGAUGCCCGCCUCCCAGAUUAAAAAAAAGAAGAGAAAGAAAAAAAUAAGAAAGAAUAAAGAUAGCCCAUGGUUUCCCGCGAGGAGUCCUAAGUUUUAAAGAAGGGAGUUAUUUUCAAAGAGCAAAAGUAGAAUUAGGAUUAGCCACUAAAUGCUAUAUAUAUACACCUAUCCACCAUAUUCCAUACACAUGCACAUCUUGAUUUGAUUGUAUGUCUUGAUUCUCUGUGGAUCCAUUGUUUGACUUUACAAUAUAUGAAUUGCAAGGAUGCUCAUCCUUGAUUGCCACUCCUAUAAGCUCCACUAUAUAUAUCCUUAGUUUUAGGAAGGCAUAACCUCAUUAAUGCCUCAGCGAGAUCCAUAAAUACUACAUAAUAAGAGACUUGAGGGUGUCAUACAAUCAUACUCUGAGCUUUAUUUCGAAAACUUACAAAACUCCGAAAUAUUGGUACUAUGAAGAAUUUGAGACAUAGUGCUUGACUUGAUUGUUCUAUCUUUCGAUUACUAACAACUUAUGCAAAAGUUGUAAAGCUCCAUGGUUAAAGGUAAGAUGGGUAAGUUUGAAAGUUAGACCGGAGGAAAAAUUAUAUUUAAAAGCAAGUGUACUUAAAAGAAAUAAAAGUAUUGUAGUAACUCCUGAUCCAAGUUUAUUAAUAAUUAGGCUUGGGUUGUUUGUCAAGGGACUGGCAAAAGGUAACCUUGGGGGUACGUCAAUAUUUACUAGAACUUUAGACACAAGGGAACACAUGAAAACAUACUAGUCUAGGGUUUUAUCUGACAAUUUCCACGAGUUUUGCAUAUUCUGUAUUUUUCAGGGUAAAUUUUAAAAAAGCUGAAAAGAAAGAUUCUAGUGCAUAAUUACCAGGAAACUUAUCCGUGACAAAAAAUAUCGUCAUGAGGCUAAAGAAGGGUCUAUAAGACACCCGAAGGAACGAGACCCACAGAGGAGAGAAGGUGGGGCCAGCCGGCCCCACCCUGGUGAAGGGUCGAGAUGGCGGACUAGAGAGGGGGGUGAAUAGUCCUUUCUAAAAAUUAUUACGCCUGCUAACCGAAACAGAUGCGGAAUUAAAACUAUCGGUC
rnacentral:lncRNA from 1 species